rnacentral:rRNA from 1 species
CCUACGGGAGGCUGCAGUGGGGAAUAUUGCGCAAUGGGCGAAAGCCUGACGCAGCGACGCCGCGUGAGGGAUGAAGGUCUUCGGAUCGUAAACCUCUGUCAGCAGGGAAGAACGGUCACUGUGCUAAUCAGCAGUGAAUUGACGGUACCUGCAAAGGCAGCACCGGCUAACUCCGUGCCAGCAGCCGCGGUAAUACGGAGGGUGCGAUCGUUAAUCGUAAUUACUGGGCGUAAAGCGCUCGUAGGCUGUCAGUCAAGUCAAGGGUGAAAUCCGCGCGCUCAACGUGGGAGCUGCCUUUGAAACUGGCAAACUGGAGUGUGUGAGAGGAUAGUGGAAUUCCAGGGGUAGCGGUAAAAUGCGUAGAUAUAUGGAAGAACACCAGUGGCGAAGGCGGCCGACUGGCCUGUUACUGACGCUGAGGCACGAAAGCGUGGGGAGCAAAUAGGAUUAGAUACCCGUGUAGUC